UACCAGCACCCCGAGUGGUCGGGACGAUUAUUGGGCCUAAAGCAUCCGUAGCCGGUUCUGCAAGUCUUCCGUUAAAUCCAGCCGCUCAACGGAUGGGCCGCGGAGGAUACUAUAGGACUAGGAGGCGGGAGAGGCAAGCGGUACUCAGUGGGUAGGGGUAAAAUCCUUUGAUCCAUUGAAGACCACCAGUGGCGAAGGCGACUCACUGGACACAUAUUGACGCUGAGGUGCGAAAGCGUGGGGAGCAAACAGG
rnacentral:rRNA from 1 species